UACGUAGGGGCGAGCGUUGUCCGAAGUUACUGGGCGUAAAGCGCGCGUAGGCGGGCUGUUAAGUGAGAAGUGAAAGGCUGAGGCUCAACCUCAUGCAGUGCUUCUCAUACUGGCAGUCUUGAGGGCGGCAGAGGGGACUGGAAUUCCUGGUGUAGCAGUGAAAUGCGUAGAGAUCAGGAGGAAUACCGAUGGCGAAGGCAGGUCCCUGGGCUGACACUGACGCUCAUGCACGAAAGCGUGGGGAGCAAACAGG
rnacentral:rRNA from 1 species